CUGUGUUGUUGAGCUUUGCUGAGCUCAGAUGCUGAUGCUGAUGCUGAUGCCCUGCAUGAGCUGUAAAAACAGCGGCUCCUGCUGAGUCAUGGCUUGUUGUGGUCCAUUACUGAAGUACAGACACCAUGAGAUAGAUUAUAUGUCGGGGACCUACAAGUGAGGCAUCACAGCAUGAAAUAGCCUUUCAUAGUAUUUACAUAAGGAGAGGAAGCUAUACGUGUAGGAGUGGCUGUCCUACAUCGCAAUGAUUGCUGCGGCUUUUUUGGUCUUAUUGAGACCCUUAAGUAUUCAGUGUGUAUUAUUGCUGCUAUUGCUUUUGCUAGGAACUGUCGCCACGAUUCUGUUCCUCUGUUGCUGGCAUCGGAAACUCCGUAAUGAGAAAAUUCCCAUAAAAUCUGUGCUAACGAGGCGUUCAAGGAGUCGUGCUGGUUUCCGGCCGCAUCAUUUUCGCUCUGAGGUAUGUCGUCACAGUCCACGUCAUGCGAGGCGAAGCGCGCGCGCGCGCGUGUCUGAGGAGAAGCCGCUGGUCGAGAGCGAGCCUGACUCGAGCGCGAGCGUGAGGAAGAGGAGGGUGAAGAAGAGAGUCCAACCUGAGUUUUACCACUCCGUGCAACUCACGCCCACACGCAAACCAGUAGGUAUAUGCUGACUU